UGAGUGCGAGCGGCUACGGCCGCGAAGUGGGUGAUGUCAAGCUUCCAAGAAAAGCCCUAUACCCGUUAAGGCAUGAUGGCCUGUACCCGAAACCGACACAGGUGGGGUGGUAGAGAAUACCGAGGGGCGCGAGGUAACUCUCUCUAAGGAACUCGGCAAAAUGGCCCCGUAACUUCGGGAGAAGGGGUGCCACCGCAAGGUGGUCGCAGUGAAGAGGCCCAGGCGACUGUUUACCAAAAACACAGGUCUCCGCUAAGUCGUAAGACGAUGUAUGGGGGCUGACGCCUGCCCAGUGCCGGAAGGUUAAGGAAGCUGGUCAGCGCAAGCGAAGCUGGCGACUGAAGCCCCGGUGAACGGCGGCCGUAACAAUAACGGUCCUAAGGUAGCGAAAUUCCUUGUCGGGUAAGUUCCGACCCGCACGAAAGGCGUAACGAUCUGGGCGCUGUCUCGGAGAGAAGCUCGGCGAAAUAGAAUUGUCUGUGAAGAUGCGGACUACGUGCACCCGGACAGAAAGACCCUAUGAAGCUUUACUGUAGCUUGGUAUUGUGCCCGGGCUCUGAAUGCGCAGGAUAGGUGGGAGGCUUUGAUCCAUGGCUUGCGGGUCAUGGUGAGCCAACGGUGAGAUACCACUCUUUCAGAGCUAGGGUUCUAACGGUCACCCGUCAUCCGGGGACCGGACAGUAUCAGGUGGGCAGUUUGACUGGGGCGGUCGCCUCCUAAAAGGUAACGGAGGCGCGCAAAGGUUUGCUCAGGCUGGUUGGAAAUCAGCCGACGAGUGCAAAAGCAGAAGCAAGCUUGACUGUGAGACCUACAAGUCGAACAGGGACGAAAGUCGGCUUUAGUGAUCCGACGGUUCUGAGUGGAAGGGCCGUCGCUCAACGGAUAAAAGUUACUCUAAGGAUAACAGGCUGAUCUCCCCCAAGAGUUCACAUCGACGGGGAGGUUUGGCACCUCGAUGUCGGCUCAUCGCAACCUGGGGCUGAAGUCGGUCCCAAGGGUUGGGCUGUUCGCCCAUUAAAGCGGUACGCGAGCUGGGUUCAGAACGUCGUGAGACAGUUCGGUCCAUAUCCGGUGCACGCGCAGGAACAUUGAGAGGAUUUCUCCCUAGUACGAGAGGACCGGGAGGAACGCACCUCUGGUGUACCAGUUAUCGUGCCAACGGUAAACGCUGGGUAGCCAUGUGCGGAGUGGAUAACCGCUGAAAGCAUCUAAGUGGGAAGCCCACCUCAAGAUGAGUGUUCCCAUGGCAUAAGCCAGUAAGGUCACGGGAAGAACACCCGUUGAUAGGCUCUACGUGGAAGCCGGGUAACCGGUGAAGCGGAGGAGUACUAAUAGACCGAGGGCUUGACC
rnacentral:rRNA from 1 species